rnacentral:snRNA from 1 species
AGCUUUGCGCAGUGGCAGUAUCGUAGCUAAUGAGGUUUAUCCAAGGCGCGAUUAUUGCUAA